CCUACGGGGGGCUGCAGUGGGGAAUAUUGGACAAUGGGGGCAACCCUGAUCCAGCCAUGCCGCGUGUGUGAAGAAGGCCCUCGGGUUGUAAAGCACUUUCAGUGAGGAAGAACGCCUGGUGGUUAAUACCCAUCAGGAAAGACAUCACUCACAGAAGAAGCACCGGCUAACUCCGUGCCAGCAGCCGCGGUAAUACGGAGGGUGCGAGCGUUAAUCGGAAUUACUGGGCGUAAAGCGCGCGUAGGUGGCUUGAUAAGCCGGUUGUGAAAGCCCCGGGCUCAACCUGGGAACGGCAUCCGGAACUAUCAAGCUAGAGUGCAGGAGAGGAAGGUAGAAUUCCCGGUGUAGCGGUGAAAUGCGUAGAGAUCGGGAGGAAUACCAGUGGCGAAGGCGGCCUUCUGGACUGACACUGACACUGAGGUGCGAAAGCGUGGGUAGCAAACAGGAUUAGAUACCCCGGUAGUC
rnacentral:rRNA from 1 species